GUGCCUACUGUGUAUCAGAGCUGGGUGUCAAUGGAUAGGGGAUAGCUGUUCCUGGGCCAGUCAUCUUGCUCAAUAUACCCAGGACCAUACAUGCCCGAAGAUGGAGGCUGGGAUGAACAUUUCUAUGCCAGAUAUUGGAUCCAUUACGCCUAGUGUUGUGUCUCUUUAUGGGAAAAACCAC